GACGAACGCUGGCGGCGUGCUUAACACAUGCAAGUCGAACGAUGAAGAAGAGAAACGCGAACUUCGGUUCAUAUUUCACUUCGGAUUAGUGGCAGACGGGUGAGUAACGCGUGAGCAACCUACCUCUUACAAAGGGAUAGCCUCGGGAAACCGUGAUUAAUACCAUAUGACACAUUCAUAAGGCAUCUUAAGAAUGUUAAAGCUACGGCGGUAAGAGAUGGGCUCGCGUCCCAUUAGCUAGUUGGUGAGGUAACGGCCCACCAAGGCGACGAUGGGUAACCGGACUGAGAGGGUGAACGGUCACAUUGGAACUGAGACACGGUCCAAACUCCUACGGGGGGCAGCAGUGGGGAAUAUUGCACAAUGGAGGGAACUCUGAUGCAGCGACGCCGCGUGAGCGAUGAAGGAAUUCGUUUCGUAAAGCUCUGUUCUAUGGGAAGAAAAGGACUGUACCAUAGGAGAAAGCCCCGGCUAAAUACGUG
rnacentral:rRNA from 1 species